ensembl:lncRNA
AUUCUCCGCACCAAACCGAAGAGUGUGGCACCAAUACGCCUGAAGUUGUGAGCGAGACGCUGCAGCGUGAUGGAGGUUGAGAAUAAAGAAGCAACCGAGAGCCCUGUGCCCAACGGCAGCACCCACCCACCCAAACGUGGACGAGGCAGACCACGAGGGUCCUUAAAUAAGAAGUUCCCUACCGAAAAAGCGCCGACACACAAUGCCAGGCCGUCUAAGAAGGUGGACUUCUUUUCUCCCGACAUAGUCAUAAAGAACAAGGUGAAGAAACGUGGUCGACCAAAGAAGUUAAAAAUGCCCGGCAGGCCAAGAAAGAUCCCGCUCACGCCUGAGGAAGAAUCCGAGAGACUUCAGAGGAUGAGUUUACAGCGCAAGCGGAGACUGUCAAAGCCGCUCGGAAGACCACGCAUUCAUCCCAUCGCUGAAGGAUCCAAGGCUAAAAGAGGAAGAGGCAGACCACGAGGGUCCCUCAAUAAGAAGUUCACUGACAAAGACACCGAGACCAGUGUGAAGAAACGUGGUCGACCUAAAAAGAUAAAACUGCCCGGCAGGCCGAGGAAGAUCCCGCUCACACCGGAGGAAGAAUCCGAGAGAAUUCAGAGGUUGAGUUUACAGCGCAAGCGGAGACUGUCAAAGCCGCUCGGGAGACCACGCAUUCAUCCAAUCGCUGAAGGAUCCAAGGUUAAAAAAGCAAGAGGAAGACCACGCAAGUACGGCACCAAAUCCACUUCGCAGAGUGGUGGAGCCAAACAAGCUGCUGCUGAAGCCAGCCUUGAUGCUGCCAGCGGCCCUCCACGAAAGAGAGGGAGGCCAGCGGGCUCGGUGAAGAAGAAGAGGGGUCGGCCCGCAGGUUCUGCCAAGGUUGCAAGCGGAGACAGUCAAACCCCCGUGGAAGACCAAGCAUAAGUCCCAUCAUCGAAGGUCCCAAGAUUCUCCGCACCAAACCGAAGAGUGUGGCACCAAUACGCCUGAAGUUGUGAGCGAGAAGCUGCAGCGUGAUGGAGGUUGAGAAUAAAGAAGCAACCGAGAGCCCUGUGCCCAACGGCAGCACCCACCCACCCAAACGUGGACGAGGCAGACCACGAGGGUCUCUCAAUAAGAAGUUCCCUACCGAGAAAGCGCCGACACACAAUGCCAGGCCGUCUAAGAAGGUGGACUUCUUUUCUCCUGACAUAGUCAUAAAGAACAAGGUGAAGAAACGUGGUCGACCAAAGAAGUUAAAAAUGCCUGGCAGGCCAAGAAAGAUCCCGCUCACGCCUGAGGAAGAAUCUGAGAGACUUCAGAGGAUGAGUUUACAGCGCAAGCGGAGACUGUCAAAGCCGCUCGGAAGACCACGCAUUCAUCCCAUCACUGAAGGAUCCAAGGCUAAAAGCGCCAAACAAGCUGGUGUUGAUAUCAGCCUGGAUGCCUCCAACGGUACUCCACGAAAGAGAGGGAGGCCGGCGGGCUCGUUGAAGAGAAAGAGGGGUCGGCCCGCAGGUUCUACCAAGGUUGCCAAGAUCGCCAGGGCCUCAGAUGGAACCCCAAAAAGGAGAGGCCGCCCCCCAGGCUCUCCCAACAAGGUGAAGAAGAUUCAGCGGGCUGACGGUUCUCCUCGCAAGAGGGGCCGGCCCCCAGGCUCUGGCACCAAACUGAAGGUCAUUCAACGAAACCCAGAUGGAUCUCCUCGCAAGAGAGGCCGACCUCCAGGUUCUGGCAAAAAGGUCAAGAUUGUCGAAAAGAGAGUAGGAGACAGUCCCCGCAAGAGAGGCCGACCUCCAGGUACCGGAAAAGUCAAGGCGCAUGCUGGAGAAGGUGGAGAGACAGGAGGUGAGAACGCAGAUGGCGCUGCUCCACGUCGAAAGAGAGGACGUCCAAGCAAAGUCAGACUCGAAGUCAUGCUCGAAAAACUCCCCACGGCAGCAGCAGAAGAAGAUGAAGAGGAGACCGACGCAACCUCUCCCAAACAGUCUCGCACCUCUGAUAAUUCGUCGCAAAAUCCAAACAAUGAUGAGGAAGACACCAGGGCGAGCGAGAACGACGCAGACCCAGAAGAGGACGCCAUUGAUUGUUCAAAAAAAAGAAAUGAAAAGAUAAGGGGCUUCGUUGAAAAUUGGUGGGAAUAUUUUUUGAAGGGGUUUAAUAGGCUAUGUCAAUUUUUUUUUUUAUUUUUUUUUUAA